rnacentral:rRNA from 1 species
CAGCAGCCGCCGCGGGAAUACAGAGGAUGCAAGCGUUAUCCGGAAUGAUUGGGCGUAAAGCGCGUCUAGGUGGUUAUGUAAGUCUGAUGUGAAAAUGCAGGGCUCAACUCUGUAUUGCGUUGGAAACUGUGUAACUAGAGUACUGGAGAGGUAAGCGGAACUACAAGUGUAGAGGUGAAAUUCGUAGAUAUUUGUAGGAAUGCCGAUGGGGAAGCCAGCUUACUGGACAGAUACUGACGCUAAAGCGCGAAAGCGUGGGUAGCAAACAGGAUUAGAUACCCCGGUAGUCCCUGUCUCUUAUACA